ACUAAAUAGAUACCAGGGUAGUCCACGCCCUAAACGAUGAUUACUCGACAUUGGCGAUAUUACUGUUCAGUGUCUGAGCGAAAGCGUUAAGUAAUCCACCUGGGGAGUACGCCCGCAAGGGUGAAACUCAAAGGAAUUGACGGGGGUCCGCACAAGCGGAGGAGCAUGUGGUUUAAUUCGAUGAUACGCGAGGAACCUUACCUGGGCUAGAAUGCGCGUGAAUGUUUCAGAAACGAGACAGGCUCAGCAAUGAGACACAAAGCAAGGUGCUGCAUGGCUGUCGUCAGCUCGUGCCGUGAGGUGUUGGGUUAAGUCCCGCAACGAGCGCAACCCUCAUCAUUAGUUGCCAACGGGUAGAGCCGGGGACUCUAGUGAAACUGCCUGCGUAAGCAGCGAGGAA
rnacentral:rRNA from 1 species